AAAUUGAAGAGUUUGAUCAUGGCUCAGAUUGAACGCUGGCGGCAGGCCUAACACAUGCAAGUCGAACGGUAACAGGAAGCAGCUUGCUGCUUCGCUGACGAGUGGCGGACGGGUGAGUAAUGUCUGGGAAACUGCCCGAUGGAGGGGGAUAACUACUGGAAACGGUGGCUAAUACCGCAUAACGUCGCAAGACCAAAGAGGGGGACCUUCGGGCCUCUUGCCAUCAGAUGUGCCCAGAUGGGAUUAGCUUGUUGGUGAGGUAACGGCUCACCAAGGCGACGAUCCCUAGCUGGUCUGAGAGGAUGACCAGCCACACUGGAACUGAGACACGGUCCAGACUCCUACGGGAGGCAGCAGUGGGGAAUAUUGCACAAUGGGCGCAAGCCUGAUGCAGCCAUGCCGCGUGUAUGAAGAAGGCCUUCGGGUUGUAAAGUACUUUCAGCGGGGAGGAAGGUGUUGUGGUUAAUAACCGCAGCAAUUGACGUUACCCGCAGAAGAAGCACCGGCUAACUCCGUGCCAGCAGCCGCGGUAAUACGGAGGGUGCAAGCGUUAAUCGGAAUUACUGGGCGUAAAGCGCACGCAGGCGG
rnacentral:rRNA from 1 species